rnacentral:rRNA from 1 species
GACGAACGCUGGCGGCGUGCUUAACACAUGCAAGUCGAACGAGAGGAGAAGGAAGCUUGCUUCUUUCAAAUCUAGUGGCAAACGGGUGAGUAACACGUAAACAACCUGCCUUCAGGAUGGGGACAACAGACGGAAACGACUGCUAAUACCGAAUACGUUCCUUAGGUCGCAUGACUUUAGGAAGAAAGGGUGGCCUCUACUUGUAAGCUAUCGCCUGAAGAGGGGUUUGCGUCUGAUUAGGUAGUUGGUGAGGUAACGGCCCACCAAGCCGACGAUCAGUAGCCGGUCUGAGAGGGUGAUCGGCCACAUUGGAACUGAGAGACGGUCCAAACUCCUACGGGAGGCAGCAGUGGGGGAAUAUUGGGCAAUGGGGGGGAACCCGUGACCCAGCAACGCCGCGUGAAGGAAGAAGGUUUUCGGAUGUAAACUUCUUUGUCAGGGACGAGUAGAAGACGGUACCUGACGAAUAAGCCACCGGCU